UAUUAGAAAGCGAAAUAACGCACUUAGUUUCGGCCUAAGUUUUGGGCCUGCCCUCUAAUAU
rnacentral:tRNA from 1 species